CGAAUUCAACGAAUUAAGAUUGAAAUUAUUUUACGAUAUAAAUAUACUGUUCAGAAAGCUAAGAAAAACGUGAAAUUACGCGUUGACCGACUUCAAGUUGUGACGGGGAUUAUUAUGAACCGCUUUUCACGCGAAAAACAUUACUCUCUAAUAAAUUGUAUAAUAUACUUUCUUCUAAUAUUCUCUUCUGAUAGAUCUGUACAUUCGGAGGAAAUCGGUACAUAUAGUUUUAGUUACCAAGAUCAGUAUGUUUACAGUGCUUUAAUACACUGAUAAAUAAUUAAAAGAUAAUACCGGCGGAUAUAACUAGCAACGCGUGCAUGUCAAUUUUAGUCGGCACAUGCGUCAAGACUUUUGCUCUAUGUUAUAAAGCGCAUAAUUGCUGGCAUAUUUAUAAUUUAGUCUCUAUCCAAAAAACAGCCAUAUUUG
rnacentral:lncRNA from 1 species